rnacentral:rRNA from 1 species
UACGUAGGGUGCAAGCGUUGUCCGGAAUUAUUGGGCGUAAAGAGCUCGUAGGCGGUCUGUCGCGUCUGCUGUGAAAACUCAGGGCUUAACCCUGAGCUUGCAGUGGGUACGGGCAGACUAGAGUGCGGUAGGGGAGACUGGAAUUCCGUGGUGAUAGCGGUGAAAUGCGCAGAUAUCAGGAGGAACACCGGUGGCGAAAGCGGGUCUCUGGGCCGAUACUGACGCUGGAGGAAGCGAAAGCGUGGGGAGCGAACAGG